AUUCGAGUUUCCCAGUUUGGGAAUAACACAGCUUCUUCGUCGUUCCAAUCAAACCAGGAUGAAUCACUUUGUGAAAAGCUUGAUUUGGAUACACAAAGUGGUGGAGAAUCACCAGGAAGUUGAAUAAAUCUCAUAGGAGUUGGCAUGAAGAAGUUAUCCCACUUUCAAAUCGGGUGAUUCCAGUUUCCCAGUUCGGGAAUAGCACAGCUUCUUCUUCGUUCCAAUCAAACCAGGAUGAAUCAAUUUGUGAAAAGCUUGAUUUGGAUACAUAAACUGGUGGAGAAUCACCUGGAAGUUGAAUAAAUCUCAUAGGAGUUGGCUUGAAGAAUUUAUCCCACUUUCAAAUCAGGUGAUUCUAGUUUCUCAGUUUGGGAAUAGCACAGCUUCUUCGUCGUUCCAAUCAAACCAGGAUGAAUCACUUUGUAAGAAGCUUGAUUUGGAUACAUAAAGUGGUGGAGAAUCACCAGGAAGUUGAAUAAAUCUCAUAGAAGUUGGCAUGAAGAAUUUAUCCCACUUUCAAAUUAGGUGAUUCCAGUUUCCCAGUUUGGGAAUAGGACAGCUUGUUCGUCGUUCCAAUCAAGCCCGGAUGAAUCACUUGGUGAGAAGCUUGAUUUGGAUACAUAAAGUGGUGUAGAAUCACCAGGAAGUUGAAUAAAUCUCAUAGGAGUGGGGAUAAAGAAGUUAUCCCACUUUCAAAUAAGGUGAUUCAUGUUUCCCACUUUGGGAAUAGGAUAGCUUUUUCGUCGUUCAAAUCAAACCAGGAUGAAUCACCUUGUAAGAAGCUUGAUUUGGAUACAUAAAGUUGUGGAGAAUCAUCAGGAAGUUGAAUAAAUCUCAUAGGAGUUGGCAAGAAGAAGUUAUCCCACUUUCAAAUCAGGUGAUUCCAGUUUCCCAGUUUGGGAAUAGCACAGCUUCUUCGUCGUUCCAAUCAAACCAUGAUGAAUCACUUUGUGAGAAGCUUUAUUUGGAUACAUAAAGUGGUGGAGAAUCACCAGGAAGUUUAAUAAAUCUCGUAGGAGUUUGGAUGAAGAAGUUAUCUCACUUUCAAAUCAGGUGAUUCCAGUUUCCUAGUUUGGGAAUAGCACAGCUUCUUCGUCGUUCCAAUCAAACCAGGAUGAAUCACUUUGUAAGAAGCUUGAUUUGGAUACAUAAUGUUGUGGAGAAUCAUCAGGAAGAUGAAUAAAUCUCAUAGGAGUUGGCAAGAAGAAGUUAUCCCACUUUCAAAUCAUGUGAUUCCAGUUUCCCAGUUUGGGAAUAGCACAGCUUCUUCGUCGUUCCAGUCAAACCAUGAUGAAUCACUUUGUGAGAAGCUUGAUUUGGAUACAUAAAGUGGUGGAGAAUCACCAGGAAGUUGAAUAAAUCUCAUAGGAGUUGGCAAGAAGAAGUUAUCCCACUUUCAAAUCAGGUGAUUCCAGUUUCCCAGUUUGGGAAUAGCACAGCUUCUUCGUCGUUCCAAUCAAACCAUGAUGAAUCACUUUGUGAAAAGCUUGAUUUGGAUACAUAAAGUGGUGGAGAAUCACCAGGAAGUUUAAUAAACCCAUAGGAGUUGGGAUGAAGAAGUUAUCCCACUUUCAAAUAACGUGAUUCCAGUUUCCCAGUUUGGGAAUAGCACAGCUUGUUCGUCGUUCCAAUCAAACCAGGAUGAAUCACUUUUUGAGAAGCUUGAUUUGGAUACAUAAAGUGGUGGAGAAUCACCAGGAAGUUGAAUAAAUCUCAUAGGAGCUGGCAAGAAGAAGUUAUCCCACUUUCAAAUCAGGUGAUUCCAGUUUCCCAGUUUCGGAAUAACACAGCUUCUUCGUCGGUCCAAUCAAACCAGGAUUAAUCACUUUGCGAGAAGCUUGAUUUGGAUACAUAAAGUGGUGGAGAAUCACCAGGAAGUUGAAUAAAUCUCAUAGGAGCUGGCAAGAAGAAGUUAUCCCACUUUCAAAUCAGGUGAUUCCAGUUUCCUAGUUUGGGAAUAGCACAGCUUCUUCGUCGUUCCAAUCAAACCAGGAUGAAUCACUUUGUAAGAAGCUUGAUUUGGAUACAUAAAGUGGUGGAGAAUCACCAGGAAGUUGAAUAAAUCUCAUAGGAGUUGGCAUGAAGAAUUUAUCCCACUUUCAAAUCAGGUGAUUCCAGUUUCCAAGUUUGGGAAUAGCAUAGCUUAUUCGUCGUUCCAAUAAAACCAGGAUGAAUCACUUUGUGAGAGGCUUGAUUUGGAUACAUAAAGUGGUGGAGAAUCACCAGGAAGUUGAAUAAAUCUCAUAGGAGCUGGCAUGAAGAAUUUAUCCCACUUUCAAAUCAGGUGAUUCCAGUUUCCUAGUUUGGGAAUAGCACAGCUUCUUCGUCGUUCCAAUCAAACCAGGAUG
rnacentral:lncRNA from 1 species